UACAGAGGUCCCGAGCGUUGUUCGGAUUCAUUGGGCGUAAAGGGUGCGUAGGCGGCGGGGCAAGUCUGAUGUGAAAUCCCGGGGCUCAACCCCGGAACUGCAUUGGAUACUGCCUUGCUCGAGUACUGGAGAGGGAACUGGAAUUUACGGUGUAGCAGUGAAAUGCGUAGAGAUCGUAAGGAAGGCCAGUGGCGAAGGCGAGUCCCUGGACAGUUACUGACGCUGAGACGCGAAAGCGUGGGGAGCGAACAGG
rnacentral:rRNA from 1 species